rnacentral:misc_RNA from 1 species
CAAAAAUUCACAUGAAUCAAAAGUCCAUAUAUAUUAUUGGAAAAAUUAUUCAGUGGAUGGAAUGUAACGUGUCAAAUACAACGAGCCUGAUAUUUUUUUUGGUGUGGGAGAGCAGAGCUCAAGAAAAGAAACAGCUAACAAGCACGCUGGAAGGAGACUCCCAUCGAAUCAUGAGGAAGAAGAGAAAGUAAAUCAGCUGGAGUGUGAUCCAUCCAAGCCUUGAUUCAUCCGUAGAAAUGUGG